GUAGGCUGAAACUACGCCUACAUGAAGCUGGAGUUACUAGUAAUCGCAGAUCAGAAUGCUGCGGUGAAUGCGUUCCCGGGUCUUGUACACACCGCCCGUCACACCACGGAAGUUGGGGGCGCCCGAAGCCACUUAGCUAACCCUUUUGGGAAGCGAGUGUCGAAGGUGAAAUCAAUAACUGGGGUGAAGUCGUAACAAGGUACC
rnacentral:rRNA from 1 species